rnacentral:rRNA from 1 species
AGCGAACGCUGGCGGCAGGCCUAACACAUGCAAGUCGAACGAAGUCUUCGGACUUAGUGGCGGACGGGUGAGUAACACGUGGGAACGUGCCUUUAGGUUCGGAAUAACUCAGGGAAACUUGUGCUAAUACCGAAUGUGCCCUUCGGGGGAAAGAUUUAUCGCCUUUAGAGCGGCCCGCGUCUGAUUAGCUAGUUGGUGAGGUAAAGGCUCACCAAGGCUACGAUCAGUAGCUGGUCUGAGAGGAUGACCAGCCACGUUGGGACUGAGACACGGCCCAAGCUCCGACGGGAGGCAGCAGUGGGGCAUCUUGCGCAUUGGGCGAAAGCCUGACGCAGCCAUGCCGCGUGGAUGAUGAAGGUCUUAGGAUUGUAAAAUCCUUUCACCGGUGAAGAUAAUGACUGUAGCCGGAGAAGAAGCCCCGGCUAACUUCGUGCCAGCCGCCGCAGUAAUAC